AUUGAACGCUGGCGGCAGGCCUAACACAUGCAAGUCGAGCGGAUGAAGGGAGCUUGCUCCUGGAUUCAGCGGCGGACGGGUGAGUAAUGCCUAGGAAUCUGCCUGGUCGUGGGGGAUAACGUCCGGAAACGGGCGCUAAUACCGCAUACGUCCUGAGGGAGAAAGUGGGGGAUCUUCGGACCUCACGCUAUCAGAUGAGCCUAGGUCGGAUUAGCUAGUUGGUGGGGUAAAGGCCUACCAAGGCGACGAUCCGUAACUGGUCUGAGAGGAUGAUCAGUCACACUGGAACUGAGACACGGUCCAGACUCCUACGGGAGGCAGCAGUGGGGAAUAUUGGACAAUGGGCGAAAGCCUGAUCCAGCCAUGCCGCGUGUGUGAAGAAGGUCUUCGGAUUGUAAAGCUCUGUAAGUUGGGAGGAAGGGCAGUAAGUUAAUACCUUGCUGUUUUGACGUUACCAACAGAAUAAGCACCGGCUAACUUCGUG
rnacentral:rRNA from 1 species